rnacentral:rRNA from 1 species
CCUACGGGUGGCAGCAGUGGGGAAUAUUGGACAAUGGGGGGAACCCUGAUCCAGCCAUGCCGCGUGUGUGAAGAAGGCCCUCGGGUUGUAAAGCACUUUCAGUGAGGAAGAACGCCUGGUGGUUAAUACCCAUCAGGAAAGACAUCACUCACAGAAGAAGCACCGGCUAACUCCGUGCCAGCAGCCGCGGUAAUACGGAGGGUGCGAGCGUUAAUCGGAAUUACUGGGCGUAAAGCGCGCGUAGGUGGCUUGAUAAGCCGGUUGUGAAAGCCCCGGGCUCAACCUGGGAACAGCAUCCGGAACUGUCAAGCUAGAGUGCAGGAGAGGAAGGUAGAAUUCCCGGUGUAGCGGUGAAAUGCGUAGAGAUCGGGAGGAAUACCAGUGGCGAAGGCGGCCUUCUGGACUGACACUGACACUGAGGUGCGAAAGCGUGGGUAGCAAACAGGAUUAGAUACCCCUGUAGUC